CAUUAUUUAGCAGCAAUUCCCCUUGUCUUGUCAAAGCCAGAGACAAAAAAAAAAAAAAAAAAAAAAAAAAAAAAAGCAGCCGCUCUAUAUGCACACAUAUAUCCACGCCCGUAUAUGUGCACACCCGGCCGCAGCGCUUCCCGAGGCAGCGAGCCGGGAGCGGAGCGGCGCUGCGGGGAACGGCUGCGACGAGCGAGAGUGGAACAACCGCGAGGAGAGGCACACGCACAGCACUCACGCACACGCACGGCAAGCGCGGGGAUCACCCGGGCUCUGCUGGCUAACAGGGGCCGCCAUCAGCAGCAGCACCGGCGGAGAGCAAAUCGGACAGGCCCCUCUUAGGGAGGAUUUAUCUAUAGACUUCUCCUAUCCUCCGGUACGGGGAAAUACCACCACCACCACCACCAGCAACGAGAACGCACAAAAAACAGCCAGCAAACACGAUGAGUUUCUGUGUAUUUCUUCUUUUUUCUCUCUCUUUCCUUUUUCUUUCUCUUUUUCCUUUUUUCUUUCUCUACGUAUCAAAAAAAAAAAAAAAAAAAAAAAAAAAAAAAAAAAAAAAAAAAACCACACACACGGUCAAGCCCCCACCGUGCGGGUUACGAUCGGCCCGUCAGCAGCCCACAUGGAACCGAACUGUCGUGUCUCAUGGCUUUUUGCCACUCCAGCUGUCAAUCAAAGCCAGGGAAUGUCAAGGUAUUUUGUCUCCCUCUCUCCCCGCGCUUGGAGAUGAGCGAGUGUCAGUGAGUGCUGGCAGGUUGGCUGCCGGCUGCC